rnacentral:tRNA from 1 species
GGAGGGAUGGCAGAGUGGUUGAAUGCAGCAGUCUUGAAAACUGCCGUGCCGCAAGGUACCCAGGGUUCGAAUCCCUGUCCCUCCGCCA